AAAAUUAGCGGCUGGAAAGAAAAAUUAUUAUCCUCGGGAGGGAAGGAAAUUCUUCUCAAGUUUGUUGUCCAAGAUAUUCCUACCUAUGGUGUGUUUGUCUUUAAAAUUCCUAAUUGCAAAGAAAUUAUUGACACGAUGUCGUAGUUUUGGUGGGGAGAUGACCAAAACGAAAGUUGAAUGCAUUGGAUGCCUUGGUGGUGUGUCCCAAUAAAUCAAGGAGGUGUGGGUUUCUGUGAUAUCCAUUAUUUUAGUUUGGCGUUGCUGGCGAAGCAGGCUUCGCGUCUUCUUGUGAACCCAGACUCUUUAUGCGUCACUUUUGAGAGCUAA
rnacentral:rRNA from 1 species